rnacentral:rRNA from 1 species
UACGGAGGGUGCGAGCGUUGUCCGGAAUCAUUGGGCGUAAAGGGCGCGUAGGCGGCCACGCACGUCCGUUGUGAAAUCGCCCGGCUCAACUGGGCGGGGUCAGCGGAUACGGUGUGGCUCGAGCAAGCUAGGGGGCAAUGGGAAUUCCCGGUGUGAGUGGUGGGAAUGCGUAGAUAUCGGGAGGAACACCAGUGGCGAAGGCGGUUGCCUGGAGCUUUGCUGACGCUGAGGCGCGAAAGCGUGGGGAGCGAGUCCGG